ensembl:lincRNA
UGAAAAUCAGCAGUGGGAGAAUGAAGAAAUUGGAGUCAAGACAGGGUCCAGUAGAGACAGAGAAAAAAAACCCACUGUUUUGGAUUGUUCUUUCACAUCCUAAGCAAUCAUGAAUGUUACAGAACUAGAAUCUGGACUUCUUUUAGCUACAUGCUCAAGCCCUUUGGAUUGAAACUCUUGCCUGGAGCAUUAAGAACUUGGGGGAGAAAUCACUACUCACUGCUUUGCUCGCAAUUCUCAUUUGGACUAGCGCUUGCAGAAACUGAGCUGAACUUUCCUCUCUGUUAUUGCAUCUGUAAGGUAAUUGCCUAAACUUGUUGAGCCAAUCGGAAUUGCUGUUGUUGACUUUUGCAAACAUGAAGAAUCCGAUGAAGCAAUUUGUAAGCCAUAUGUGGUACAUCCCUCUUUCCCCACUCAAAGUCAUAU